rnacentral:rRNA from 1 species
AGAGUUUGAUCAUGGCUCAGAUUGAACGCUGGCGGCAGGCCUAACACAUGCAAGUCGAGCGGUAGCACAGGAGAGCUUGCUCUCUGGGUGACGAGCGGCGGACGGGUGAGUAAUGUCUGGGAAACUGCCUGAUGGAGGGGGAUAACUACUGGAAACGGUAGCUAAUACCGCAUAACGUCUUCGGACCAAAGUGGGGGACCUUCGGGCCUCACGCCAUCAGAUGUGCCCAGAUGGGAUUAGCUAGUAGGUGGGGUAAUGGCUCACCUAGGCGACGAUCCCUAGCUGGUCUGAGAGGAUGACCAGCCACACUGGAACUGAGACACGGUCCAGACUCCUACGGGAGGCAGCAGUGGGGAAUAUUGCACAAUGGGCGCAAGCCUGAUGCAGCCAUGCCGCGUGUGUGAAGAAGGCCUUCGGGUUGUAAAGCACUUUCAGCGAGGAGGAAGGGCAGUGUGUUAAUAGCACAUUGCAUUGACGUUACUCGCAGAAGAAGCACCGGCUAACUCCGUUCCAGCAGCCGCGGUAAUACGGAGGGUGCAAGCGUUAAUCGGAAUUACUGGGCGUAAAGCGCACGCAGGCGGUUUGUUAAGUCAGAUGUGAAAUCCCCGCGCUUAACGUGGGAACUGCAUUUGAAACUGGCAAGCUAGAGUCUUGUAGAGGGGGGUAGAAUUCCAGGUGUAGCGGUGAAAUGCGUAGAGAUCUGGAGGAAUACCGGUGGCGAAGGCGGCCCCCUGGACAAAGACUGACGCUCAGGUGCGAAAGCGUGGGGAGCAAACAGGAUUAGAUACCCCGGUAGU